ensembl:lncRNA
GAAAAUAUUUUCAAAAUUUAUUUGGAUGCUACCAUGAUUGGUUGCAUCCAAAUAAUGGAUAAUCAUUAAAACAUUGUGAAUAAUGAUGAGUGAGAACUUUAUUGAUAAUGGUGGGAGGUUAACAUGCUAAUCUUCUGCGUUAUUGGUAAUGGUGGGAGGUUAACAUGCUACUCUCCUGCGUUAUUGGUAAUAGGGAGAGGUUAACAUGCUAAGCUCCUGCGUUAUUGGUAAUGGGGAGAGGUUAACAUGCUAAUCUCCUGCAUUAUUGGUAAUGGGGAGAGGUUAACAUGUUAAUCUCCUGCGUUAUUGGUAAUGGGGAGAGGUUAACAUGCUAAUCUCCUGCAUUAUUGGUAAUGGGGAGAGGUUAACAUGUUAAUCUCCUGCGUUAUUGGUAAUGGGGAGAGGUUAACAUGCUAAUCUCCUGCGUUAUUGGUAAUGGGGAGAGGUUAACAUGCUAAUCUCCUGCGUUAUUGGUACAACCAUCAGCUGUUGAUUUUCUAUGUUUUAAUAAAUUAGUAAACAAUGAUUCAUCUUAUUCUUCUCAUCAUCCUCACUUCUCUUAGCCCAUGACAGAAAGGUAGGAGGGGAAGCGUUUCCAUUCCUCCAUCUCUCCCUCCAUCUCUCCCUCCAUCUCUCUCCCAAUAUUUCCCUCAAUCUCUUCCUUUUCCUGCCUCUCCACAUUUCCCCGCUCCAGAUCCAAGCGGAGCAGGACGGUGUACUGUUCGUAGUCUGGUGAGGAGGGAGUGGGGGUGUUGGAGGUGGAGGAGGAGGGGGACGAGAAGUGGAGGCUCAGGGUGGAGCAUCGCUGUCGCUGGGAGGGAUCUCCCAAAGCCUCAUACUCCGCCUGAACCUUCGUCAGCAGCAACCCUUGGAGAUG